AGUGAACGCUGGCGGUAGGCCUAACACAUGCAAGUCGAACAGCAGCACAGGAAAGCUUGCUCUCUGGGUGGCGAGUGGCGGACGGGUGAGGAAUACAUCGGAAUCUACUCUGUCGUGGGGGAUAACGUAGGGAAACUUACGCUAAUACCGCAUACGACCUACGGGUGAAAGCAGGGGACCUUCGGGCCUUGCGCGAUUGAAUGAGCCGAUGCCGGAUUAGCUAGUUGGCGGGGUAAAGGCCCACCAAGGCGACGAUCCGUAGCUGGUCUGAGGGGAUGAUCAGCAACACUGGAGCUGAGACACGGUCCAGACUCCUACGGGAGGCAGCAGUGGGGAAUAUUGGACAAUGGGCGCAAGCCUGAUCCAGCCAUACCGCGUGGGUGAAGAGGGCCUUCGGGUUGUAAAGCCCUUUUGUUGGGAAAGAAAUCCAGCUGGCUAAUACCCGGUUGGGAUGACGGUACCCAAAGAAUAAGCACCGGCUAACUACGUGCCAGCAGCCGCGGUAA
rnacentral:rRNA from 1 species